rnacentral:misc_RNA from 1 species
GAAAUUCCUAGAAAAGAAAAAGAGAUCAAAUGCCUGAUUAGUGUGCUCUAUUGGCAUGUAAUGUACUCAUCAGAAGAAUAUGUAGCCAAAUAUGGUACCAUGUCAACUACACAAAAAAGAGGUACAUAAAACUAACAAUAUCACAUGGGACACAGAAAAAAAAAAAAAGGGGAAAGUCACAUUUCUCUUCUAAUUUCAAACCUAAUUAUCCUCUCAAUACUUGCUAGUAAGUAGUAAUUAAGUAAACCAUCAAACCA